rnacentral:rRNA from 1 species
GACGGGAGUAGACUAACAAGGAUUCCCCUAGUAACUGCGAGUGAAGCGGGAAAAGCUCAAAUUUAAAAUCUGGCGGUCUUUGGCCGUCCGAGUUGUAGUCUGGAGAAGUGCUUUCCGCGCUGGACCGUGUAUAAGUCUCUUGGAACAGAGCGUCAUAGAGGGUGAGAAUCCCGUCUUUGACACGGACUACCAGUGCUUUGUGAUGCGCUCUCAAAGAGUCGAGUUGUUUGGGAAUGCAGCUCAAAAUGGGUGGUGAAUUCCAUCUAAAGCUAAAUAUUGGCGAGAGACCGAUAGCGAACAAGUACCGUGAGGGAAAGAUGAAAAGCACUUUGGAAAGAGAGUUAAACAGUACGUGAAAUUGCUGAAAGGGAAACGCUUGAAGUCAGUCGCGUUGUCUGGGACUCAGCCUUGCUUUUGCUUGGUGCACUUUCCGGAUGACGGGCCAGCAUCGAUUUUGACCGUCGGAAAAGGGCUAGGGUAAUGUGGCACCUCCGGGUGUGUUAUAGACUUUAGUCGCAUACGGCGGUCGGGAUCGAGGAACGCAGCGCGCCGUAAGGCAGGGGUUCGCCCACUUUCGCGCUUAGGAUGCUGGCGUAAUGGCUUUAAACGACCCGUCUUGAAACACGGACCAAGGAGUCUAACAUACCUGCGAGUGUUUGGGUGGAAAACCCGAGCGCGUAAUGAAAGUGAAAGUUGAGACCUCUGUCGUGGAGGGCAUCGACGCCCGGACCUGACGUUCUCUGACGGAUCCGCGGUAGAGCAUGUAUGUUGGGACCCGAAAGAUGGUGAACUAUGCCUGAAUAGGGUGAAGCCAGAGGAAACUCUGGUGGAGGCUCGUAGCGAUUCUGACGUGCAAAUCGAUCGUCAAAUUUGGGUAUAGGGGCGAAAGACUAAUCGAACCAUCAGCUGGU